rfam:Sodalis glossinidius str. 'morsitans' DNA, complete genome.
AACUCAAUUGUGUUAUUACACACACGUAUCGGCACAUGCGCCGGGGUGCUCUGAAUCACAAGGUCGGGGUCGGCCGUAUGGGAUACGUGGAGGCAUAAC